rnacentral:rRNA from 1 species
UACAGAGGUCCCGAGCGUUGUUCGGAUUCACUGGGCGUAAAGGGUGCGUAGGUGGUGAGGAAAGUCGGAUGUGAAAUCUCCGAGCUCAACUCGGAAAUGGCAUUGGAAACUACCUUGCUCGAGGGUUGGAGGGGGGACUGGAAUACUUGGUGUAGCAGUGAAAUGCGUAGAUAUCAGGAGGAACACCGGUGGCGAAGGCGGCUUUCUGGACAGAUACCGACGCUGAGGCACGAAAGCUAGGGGAGCAAACAGG